rnacentral:rRNA from 1 species
AUUGAACGCUGGCGGCAGGCCUAACACAUGCAAGUCGAGCGGAUGAAGGGAGCUUGCUCCUGGAUUCAGCGGCGGACGGGUGAGUAAUGCCUAGGAAUCUGCCUGGUAGUGGGGGAUAACGUCCGGAAACGGGCGCUAAUACCGCAUACGUCCUGAGGGAGAAAGUGGGGGAUCUUCGGACCUCACGCUAUCAGAUGAGCCUAGGUCGGAUUAGCUAGUUGGUGGGGUAAAGGCCUACCAAGGCGACGAUCCGUAACUGGUCUGAGGGGAUGAUCAGUCACACUGGAACUGAGACACGGUCCAGACUCCUACGGGAGGCAGCAGUGGGGAAUAUUGGACAAUGGGCGAAAGCCUGAUCCAGCCAUGCCGCGUGUGUGAAGAAGGUCUUCGGAUUGUAAAGCACUUUAAGUUGGGAGGAAGGGCAGUAAGUUAAUACCUUGCUGUUUUGACGUUACCAACAGAAUAGGCACCGGCUAACUUCGUG